UAUCAGGUUCACAUUUUAGUUGAUUUUGCUUUGCUGUUACCUGGUUUUGAAUGGAUUUGUGCAGAAAAUUGCAAGAUAAUUGAAUUGCAUAUAUGAGGAUGGAUCUGUGCAGAAAACUAUUGAGAUUCCAGAUGAGCUUAAACGAAUUUAUAAGGUACUAUUUGUGUAUUAGUGCGACAUUUAUUAGCAUAUCUUUAGAGGUCUGAUCCAAAGGAAUCUAGUGUUUAUGCUCCUAGCACUAACAACCAAUAAUAUGCUCCUUAUGCUCAUAGCACUAACAACCAAUAAUAUGCUGGUGACGGAUUGGACUUGGAGAAUGAGUUGAUUGUGAAUGAAUGUGUGCAUGGACAGAAUCUUGAUUUUACUGAUAGUAGAAAUGAGCUUGAAGCUGGUAUCAA